GGAGGUAGUGACAAUAAAUCACAAUGCGGGACUUCUAGUCUUGCAAUUGGAUUGAGAACAACGUACAACUCUUAUCGAUAAGCCAUUGGAGGGCAAGUCUGGUGCCAGCAGCCGCGGUAAUUCCAGCUCCAAUAGCGUAUAUUAACGUUGUUGCAGUUAAAAAGCUCGUAGUUGAAGUGAGGGAGUGUGUGGGUAUGAGAGCUAGUCUCAAGUACUUACAACCUCCCCCCUCCAAUCGGUGUAGUGGGGUAUUCACUUAUUUCACUACUCCUUUGGUCGUUUACUGUGAGAAACUUAGAGUGUUCAAAGCGGGCGUUUGUUUGAAUAGAUUAGCAUGGAAUAAUGAUUGAAGGCUUUCGUGUUCGAUUUGAUUGGUUUGUUCAUGUAAGCAAGGUUAAAAGGAACAGUUGGGGGUAUUCAUAUUCACUAGUUAGAGGUGAAAUUCUCGGAUUUAUGGAAGAUGAACAAGUGCGAAAGCA
rnacentral:rRNA from 1 species